rnacentral:rRNA from 1 species
GACGAACGCUGGCGGCGUGCCUAAUACAUGCAAGUCGAACGCAGUGGGGACGGGUGAGUAACACGUGGGUAACCUCCCAUCAGAGGGGAUAACACUUGGAAACAGGUGCUAAACCGAUACGGGUGGAUGAAACUGCGGUGCAAUAGCUAGUUGGUGAGGUAACGGCGCACCAAGGCCACGAUGCAUAGCCGUCCUGAGAGGGUGAUCGGCCACACUGGGACUGAGACACGGCCCAGACUCCUACGGGAGGCAGCAGUAGGGAAUCUUCGGCAAUGGGCGAAAGUCUGAGCGAGCAACGACGCGUGAGUGAAGAAGGUUUUCGGAUCGUAAAGCUCUGUUGUUAGUGAAGCGGUAUCUAACCAGAAAGCCACUGCUAACUACGUGCCAGCAGCCGCGGUAAUUC